rnacentral:rRNA from 1 species
UACAGAGGCCUCGAGCGUUAGGCGGAAUCACUGGGCUUAAAGCGUGUGUAGGCGGAUCGGUAAGUACCUUGUGAAAUCCCACGGCUUAACUGUGGAACUGCUGGGUAUACUGCCAGUCUUGAGCCACUCAGGGGCUACCGGAACAAAUGGUGGAGCGGUGAAAUGCGUAGAUAUCAUUUGGAACGCCAAUGGUGAAAACAGGUAGCUGGGGGUGUGCCGACGCUGAGACACGAAAGCCAGGGGAGCAAACAGG